rnacentral:misc_RNA from 1 species
UAGGGCCUUCCUCUUCAGGUCCCUUAAUGACCAAGGAAUGCAAUUUAAUGACUUGAUUAAAAGGUAUGUAUAUCAAAAGCUGCUCAUCUGCAUCACUCUCCAAAAGCAAGCUAUCAUUAUCCCUACAAGUCUGGUUAAGAGCAUUUGUAAAAGUGUGGCUGAAAUUCUGGUUAAGGCACUCGACACCAGACCAGUUAAUGAAGUCAGACAGAUCAACCUGAGUCCGAUGAAUAGAGGUGGCAGAUGCGGCAGCCAUAGCAAAUCGAACGAGAA